UACGGGGGGGGGCAAGCGUUGUUCGGAAUUACUGGGCGUAAAGGGCUCGUAGGUGGCCAACUAAGUCAGACGUGAAAUCCCUCGGCUUAACCGGGGAACUGCGUCUGAUACUGGAUGGCUUGAGUUCGGGAGAGGGAUGCGGAAUUCCAGGUGUAGCGGUGAAAUGCGUAGAUAUCUGGAGGAACACCGGUGGCGAAGGCGGCAUCCUGGACCGACAUUGACGCUGAGGAGCGAAAGCAUGGGGAGCGAACAGG
rnacentral:rRNA from 1 species